GGCAGCAGUAGGGAAUCUUCCGCAAUGGACGAAAGUCUGACGGAGCAACGCCGCGUGAGCGAAGAAGGUCUUCGGAUUGUAAAGCUCUGUUGUUAGGGAAGAACAAGUACCGCAGUAACUGGCGGUACCUUGACGGUACCUAACGAGAAAGCCCCGGCUAACUACGUGCCAGCAGCCGCGGUAAUACGUAGGUGGCGAGCGUUGUCCGGAAUUAUUGGGCGUAAAGCGCGCGCAGGCGGUCCUUUAAGUCUGAUGUGAAAGCCCCCGGCUCAACCGUGGAGGGUCAUUGGAAACUGGGGGACUUGAGUGCAGAAGAGGGGAGCGGAAUUCCACGUGUAGCGGUGAAAUGCGUAGAGAUGUGGAGGAACACCAGUGGCGAAGGCGGCUCUCUGGUCUGUAACUGACGCUGAGGCGCGAAAGCGUGGGGAGCAAACAGGAUUAGAUACCCUGGUAGUCCACGCCGUAAACGAUGAGUGCUAAGUGUUAGAGGGGUUACACCCUUUAGUCCUGUAGCUAACGCA
rnacentral:rRNA from 1 species